rnacentral:pre_miRNA from 1 species
AGUGCCAUAAUUGGGUCAAAUGGUGGUUCCAUUCCAAGUCUUAUGAGGAAUCUCCAUACUACUUUCCAUAAUGGUUGCACCAUUUUGCAGUCCCACCAGCAAU